rnacentral:rRNA from 1 species
CCCUUAGAUGUUCUGGGCAGCACGCGCGCUACACUGACCAGUGCAACAAGCAUCCGUCCUUGGCCGACAGGCCCGGGCAAUCUUUGAACGCUGGUCGUGAUGGGGAUAGACUUUUGCAAUUUUUGGUCUUCAACGAGGAAUUCCUAGUAAACGCAAGUCAUCAACUUGCAUUGAUUACGUCCCUGCCCUUUGUACACACCGCCCGUCGCACCUACCGAUUGAAUGGUCCGGUGAAGCCUCCGGAUUGGCGCGCACCUCGGUGCCGCCGAGAAGUUGGCUAAACCUUACCAUUUAGAGGAAGGUGAAGUCGUAACA